rnacentral:tmRNA from 1 species
GGGGUAGUAAUGGUUUCGACAGGGAUCUUGCAGCUGGAGAAGCUAUCCGGAAGCAGCCACGUUAAGGCGCAAAAUUAAAAGUAAACGCUAACAACGAUUACGAACUCGCUGCAGCCUAAGUGCUGAAGCCGUCAUCCCGGGAUUACCCAUGGUUCCGGAUCUUGACGUCAUCCUCAUGGGAAACGACACUGGCAAAGCUUUGAGUCUGUGGGCGUAAUAUGAAGCUACUUAAGCCGUCAGAAUGCACUUCUCCGGGCGGUGGAGGGAAUGUCAAUUGAAGUGAUAUGAUAGUAGAAGGACAGGGAAUAGGUUUUUGGACACGGGUUCGACUCCCGUCUACUCCACUC